rnacentral:rRNA from 1 species
CUACGGGAGCAGCAGUGAGGAAUAUUGCACAAUGGGGGAAACCCUGAUGCAGCAACGCCGCGUGGAGGAUGACGCAUUUCGGUGUGUAAACUCCUUUUAUCAGAGAAGAAAAUGACGGUAUCUGAUGAAUAAGCUCCGGCUAACUCCGUGCCAGCAGCCGCGGUAAUACGGAGGGAGCAAGCGUUAUUCGGAAUCACUGGGCGUAAAGGACGCGUAGGCGGGUUUUUAAGUCAGGUGUGAAAUCCUAUGGCUCAACCAUAGAACUGCACCUGAAGCUGGGGACCUAGAGUAUGGAAGGGGCAGGUGGAAUUAGUGGUGUAGGGGUAAAAUCCGUAGAUAUCACUAGGAAUACCGAAAGCGAAGGCGACCUGCUGGGACAUUACUGACGCUGAGGCGUGAAAGCGUGGGGAGCAAACAGGAUUAGAUACCCCAGUAGUC